ACACACGACAUUCAAUGCGACGCACGACAACGGGAUUCAAGAUUGAAGAUUCAAAGUUUAACGGGCAAGGACACUCGACAGGAAUUGUCACAUGUCCAGGUCGACUGUGAAGGAAGUUUUACAACUGAUAUUAAUCACUCUCGACACCUCAUUCCUGAUGGAAUCCAUCGCCACGAGGGUAUGAGAAAAGAGGCCUGUUUCCCUUUUAAUACAGAGUGCCAAGCAAGUGAGAUAGAAACAAAUGCAAACACAAUACAGAACAUUACUGUAACUGCGACAAAACAAAAGCUAUCAAUGCUGUUCCCUGCAUACAAGACUGAAGUCGCAUCUGCGAGGCUGGAGAACCUUUCAACAGAUUCAACACAUCCAAAAUGCCAUACUAAAAAAUUGCCGGUGGACUUUUGAAUUGUGUUUACUUGUUUGACAUCGUACAAUGUAACUGCAUUCUCUCUAUUAUGACA
rnacentral:lncRNA from 1 species